GCCAUUGCCCCGUGUGCAAUUCCGGCUUUCAUAACCGGGGGGGGGGGUUCGGGGAGGUUGCGGCCGUUGAGGGGUGCCUCCGGCCGCACGCCCAUUCUUGUCUACUGACCCGGUUGCCUCGGCGGGCCGCGCCUGCUGUGCUACAGCGGCCGUUCGGGGGGGACGCCUGAGGGGGACUCUUGUUUCCUAGGCCACGCCCCGGGCAGCGCUCGCCGGAGGAUUACUCUGGAAAACACACUCUUGAAAGAACAUACCGUCUGAGCGAGCAACGCAAUCAGUUAAAACUUUCAACAACGGAUCUCUUGGUUCCGGCAUCGAUGAAGAACGCAGCGAAAUGCGAUAAGUAAUGUGAAUUGCAGAAUUCCGUGAAUCAUCGAAUCUUUGAACGCACAUUGCGCCCCCUGGCAUUCCGGGGGGCAUGCCUGUUCGAGCGUCAUUUCAACCCCUCAAGCCCGGCUUGUGUGAUGGACGACCGUCCCCCCUCCCCAGUAACCACCCACCGCUUAGGGGGGUGGGAGGGAGGGGGACGCGCCCGAAAAGCAGUGGUCAGGCCGCGAUUCCGGCUCCUGGGCGAAUGGGACAUACCACCGCCUCCAGGACCGGCCGGCAGGCUGGCCUAACGCACCAUGUAUUAUUCAGGUUGACGUCGGAUCAGGUAGGCAUACCCCGCUGAACUUAGCAUAUCAUAACGGACGUCAACUACGUCCGCCGUGUGGGAUGUCCUGUGCAACGAACUGGCUCCUCGCUAUAGGAAGCCGCCACCUCGAGCUAACAUAUCUCCCGACUACUAUAAUGUCGCACGGCUGGCAGCGAGA
rnacentral:rRNA from 1 species